CUCCUCCCAUACCUGGGACUCGACCUUAAACAAUUUCCUUCGUAUCGACCCCAACCUGAUGUAAAUAUUAUGGCCUAAUGUAACAAUCACUUUCUUUUCUCUGACUAUAUUUCUUCUCUUCAUCAUUUUCUAUAUAUGUCUAAAUUUACACAAAUUAUUAGUCAGUUUGACCCUCGUACUCCAAAUCAAACCAUGUAAGUUGUAAAAGGGAGUUAUAUUAAAAAAAAUCAUAAAUAUAUAAUUACAUCCUAAAAUUAUGUAUAUGUUUAAAUAUUGAAAUUUAUCACCGAUAGACUAAAAUAUUUAGAUUUUUCAAAGUUUAAUUGGUUACCUGAUGUAAGACAUGUUGAAGUGUUUGAGGCAAUAGAGUACAUAGAGGGUGGACAUCAAAUUCACAAAGCUCACACCUAUAAAACAACCCUUCAAUAGAAUCACAACAAACAUUGCAGACGCGGUCCAAUUGACUAUUGCCAUGUGGCAUGCGGGUAACGAGCUUGAGCGAAUGGAAAGGAUGUAAGAACGAGGAAAGAUUCAUUGGACAUGUUCCACAAUAUUCGUGUAGAUUGAAAUCACAUUCAUGGCAGUUAAAUCUUUUACCUAUGCCAAGGAUUUUGCAACCAUCACAUACAUAUUUGGUGUUGGAAUCAAAUAAUGUUAAUGAAUGGUUUGGGUGUAUCAAUUGUUGGAUUGGGUUCUUGUGGAUCGGUGCCAUUUCUUGAAAAAUAAA
rnacentral:lncRNA from 1 species